rnacentral:rRNA from 1 species
GACGAACCGUCCAAACGUUAUUCGGAAUCACUGGGCUUAAAGGGUGCGUAGGCGGCUCAGAAAGUAGGGUGUGAAAGCCCUCGGCUCAACCGAGGAAUUGCGCCCUAAACUACUGGGCUCGAGGAAGGCAGAGGUAAGCGGAACUUAGGGUGGAGCGGUGAAAUGCGUUGAUAUCCUAAGGAACACCAGGAGCGAAGGCGGCUUACUGGGCCUUUUCUGACGCUGAGGCACGAAAGCUAGGGGAGCGAACGGG